GCACAUGUAGUUCAGUGGUAGAACACCGGCUUCCCAAGCCGGAUAUGCGGGUUCAAUUCCCGUCAUGUGCUCCA
rnacentral:tRNA from 1 species